AUGGUUGGAUGAAAAAUGGACUUUCUUUAACUUAAAAAUAUAAUUUAAUUUUUGAUUUAAAAAGAUCAGAUUUUGAUAUAGGACGAGAAGACCCUAUAGAACUUUAUUUUCACUUAAAUAAUUAUUUAUUUGUAAAUAAUUUUUUUUUAUCUAAGUGAAAAUUUUGUUGGGGUGACAUAAAAAAAUUAAUAACUUUUUAUUUAUAUUUCAUUUAUCUAUGAUUUUUUGAUCCUUUAUUAGGGAAUUAAGAAUAAGUUACCUUAGGGAUAACAGCGUUAUUGUCUUAGAGAGUUCUUAUCGAUAGGACAGUUUGCGACCUCGAUGUUGGAUUAAAAUUAGUUUCAGGAGUAAAAGAUUGAUAGACUA
rnacentral:rRNA from 1 species